rnacentral:rRNA from 2 species
AGACCCGAAACCCGGUGAUCUAGCCAUGGGCAGGUUGAAGGUUGGGUAACACUAACUGGAGGACCGAACCGACUAAUGUUGAAAAAUUAGCGGAUGACCUGUGGCUGGGGGUGAAAGGCCAAUCAAACCGGGAGAUAGCUGGUUCUCCCCGAAAGCUAUUUAGGUAGCGCCUCGUGAAUUCAUCUCCGGGGGUAGAGCACUGUUUCGGCUAGGGGGCCAUCCCGGCUUACCAACCCGAUGCAAACUGCGAAUACCGGAGAAUGUUAUCACGGGAGACACACGGCGGGUGCUAACGUCCGUCGUGAAGAGGGAAACAACCCAGACCGCCAGCUAAGGUCCCAAAGUCAUGGUUAAGUGGGAAACGAUGUGGGAAGGCCCAGACAGCCAGGAUGUUGGCUUAGAAGCAGCCAUCAUUUAAAGAAAGCGUAAUAGCUCACUGGUCGAGUCGGCCUGCGCGGAAGAUGUAACGGGGCUAAACCAUGCACCGAAGCUGCGGCAGCGACACUGUGUGUUGUUGGGUAGGGGAGCGUUCUGUAAGCCUGUGAAGGUGUGUCGUGAGGCAUGCUGGAGGUAUCAGAAGUGCGAAUGCUGACAUAAGUAACGAUAAAGCGGGUGAAAAGCCCGCUCGCCGGAAGACCAAGGGUUCCUGUCCAACGUUAAUCGGGGCAGGGUGAGUCGACCCCUAAGGCGAGGCCGAAAGGCGUAGUCGAUGGGAAACGGGUUAAUAUUCCCGUACUUGGUGUUACUGCGAAGGGGGGACGGAGAAGGCUAUGUUGGCCGGGCGACGGUUGUCCCGGUUUAAGCGUGUAGGUGUGUGUUCCAGGUAAAUCCGGUUCACUUUAACACUGAGGCGUGACGACGAGGCACUACGGUGCUGAAGCAACAAAUGCCCUGCUUCCAGGAAAAGCCUCUAAGCAUCAGGUAACAUCAAAUCGUACCCCAAACCGACACAGGUGGUCAGGUAGAGAAUACCAAGGCGCUUGAGAGAACUCGGGUGAAGGAACUAGGCAAAAUGGUGCCGUAACUUCGGGAGAAGGCACGCUGACACGUAGGUGAAGUGAUUUACUCAUGGAGCUGAAGUCAGUCGAAGAUACCAGCUGGCUGCAACUGUUUAUUAAAAACACAGCACUGUGCAAACACGAAAGUGGACGUAUACGGUGUGACGCCUGCCCGGUGCCGGAAGGUUAAUUGAUGGGGUCAGCGCAAGCGAAGCUCCUGAUCGAAGCCCCGGUAAACGGCGGCCGUAACUAUAACGGUCCUAAGGUAGCGAAAUUCCUUGUCGGGUAAGUUCCGACCUGCACGAAUGGCGUAAUGAUGGCCAGGCUGUCUCCACCCGAGACUCAGUGAAAUUGAACUCGCUGUGAAGAUGCAGUGUACCCGCGGCAAGACGGAAAGACCCCGUGAACCUUUACUAUAGCUUGACACUGAACAUUGAGCCUUGAUGUGUAGGAUAGGUGGGAGGCUUUGAAGUGUGGACGCCAGUCUGCAUGGAGCCGACCUUGAAAUACCACCCUUUAAUGUUUGAUGUUCUAACGUGGACCCGUUACCCGGGUUGCGGACAGUGUCUGGUGGGUAGUUUGACUGGGGCGGUCUCCUCCUAAAGAGUAACGGAGGAGCACGAAGGUUGGCUAA